UCUGGCCUUGCAGCCUGUUUCUUCAUCUGAAAAAAAGAAGGAAAAAUAAUACCAAACUCAGAAAGACUUCAUGAGGAUCGAGUCUGUUUGAAUUGCUUUUCAUUGCACCUUCUAAAUAUGGGGAACUGCGACAUGAAGAAGUUAACUUACCUAAGAUCAGAGAAUGAGUCAAGGACAGAACAGGACCAUGUCAUCAAAUUUAGAGAAACUUGAACUAUGCAGAAAAGAGAUGGGAUUCUUCUGUGGCUGUGCUGCUCACUCAAGGGAGUCUGAACCAUUUUGACCAGGAAAAGCCAAAGGAAAGGCCACUGCCAAGGGCAGACCACACAUUGCCUGAAGUCAUUGUUCUCCAUUCCAGCCCCAAGAACUCUGCGAGAUCGAUGAAAGCAUACAUUGAGAAAUAAAAGUCAUGAGAAAAUUUUACAAAUUAGCUAGCUUUCAUUUCCUGUUGGCUUUUCCAGCACAUGCUUGGCACCAGAUGAGAGUAAUGUGGUAAUGCAGUAAAAUAUCCCUGUGAGACACUAUCUGCUUAGAGACAGGAGGCAGUGAGAUGCUUUAGCCCUUGAUGUCCUAAGGGCCUGUCUGGACAUCGUGAGGUUUUCUCAGAAGCCAAUGUAAUAGACUUUUUGUCAUAUCAAGUUUGUUUUUUAGGGAAUUUCAAGGCAUCAACAUUAUCUAUAUUUCCACUGCCGGCUCUGAUUUGGAAAUGCCAGUAAAGUUGGUGUGCUUUAUAUUUACUUGAUCUCUAAAAAAAUGUGUGAGCUCAAUCUUGUCUUGUCCUAACUGGCAUAAUUAUUCAUCACGGAUGCGUUUCGUGGGAUUAGAACCAGUAACAGGAAGUCACAGUGUGCCCUAUUUUAACAAAAACAAAUGUCUAGGCCCUGAACCUGGAAAACAGAUUCAACAAGGGAGUUAACCCUCACAUUGGAAAAUUAUUCUCAUGAUGUAAUAGUGACAGCUAUGAUUUAUUGAGCACCUACUAUGGGCCAGGUAUUUUAUUGAUGUUAUUUAUAAUGCUCAUAACUACUCUGCAAAGCAUGUGAAAGAAAAUUGAUACUUGGUAAAGGAAAGUAACUUGCUGAAGGUCACAUAUUUAGAAAAUAUCUAACCCAGGCUGGUUUCUCCAGCAGGUGUUUCUGCUACUACACUGAAGUGUUUGUCUUCAGAUCAUAUAUAAAACAUGUUAAUUAUUUAUAAGGAAGAUAUAU
rnacentral:lncRNA from 1 species